AGCAGCAUGGUGUAAUGCGCACACGGGAAUUCUUUACAUGAUGAGAAACGACAUUACUCCCGAGGUCCUUGUUCGACUCAAGGUGCUGCUC